GACUGCAUUCCCUCUGGCAGCACCUAAAGUGGAAAGGACGUAGAGGAGCUUAGCAUGGCUCCUGUGUAAGCAUGAUGUGUAAAUUUGUGAAGCGUUCCACAUUUUA